GACGUAGGGCGCGAGCGUUGUCCGGAUUUAUUGGGCGUAAAGAGCUCGUAGGCGGCUUGUCGCGUCGUCCGUGAAAACCUGCAGCUCAACUGCAGGCUUGCGGUCGAUACGGGCAGGCUGGAGUUCGGUAGGGGAGACUGGAAUUCCUGGUGUAGCAGUGAAAUGCGUAGAUAUCAGGAGGAACACCGGUGGCGAAGGCAGGUCUCUGGGCUGACGCUGACGCUCAUGCACGAAAGCGUGGGGAGCAAACAGG
rnacentral:rRNA from 1 species